rnacentral:misc_RNA from 1 species
UUUCCGUAGGUGAACCUGCGGAAGGAUCAUUAAAAAAUUGGACUCCAUUGGUGAGUUCAUUAAUAAUCCCUACCCUUUGUGAAUUUGUUUGUUUGAAUAAUUUUUUUUCCAAAAAAAAUUAUUGAAUGUCUUUCCUUGUUUUGGUGGAGCUUGUAAAGUGAAACCAGGCAGGGGAAUGGCAAACAAUAAUUAUUUUUGAAAAAGACCUUUUUUUAAAAUUAAACUUUUUGUAUUCAUUUGUCUAAAAUUAAUUUUUAUAAUAUAAAAACAACUUUUGACAAUGGAUCUCUUGGUUCUCGCAACGAUGAAGAACGCAGCAAAAUGCGAUAAGUAGUGUGAAUUGCAGAAUACGUGAAUCAUCGAAUCUUCGAACGCAUAUUGCACUUUUUUAGUUUACUAAAAAAGUAUGUCUGUUUGAGUAUCAGUAAAAUAUUCUCAUAAAAAACAUUGUUUUUUUUAUGGUUAUGAGUGUUUUACAACGAUAACAAGUUGUUUCACUUUAAAUUCUUUGUUAUCAAAAAAAUCAUUAAAGCUAAUUUUAAAGAUUUUUUAAAAUUGGAUAAAAUUUUCCCGUAAAAAGGAAUAACCUAAACAAUUUUAAAAAAUUAAAAUUGGUUUGAUUUUUUUUGAAACCCAAAGGAAAAAAAAACGAAAUUAACUUGAUCUCAAAUCAGAUAAGAGUACCCGCUGAACUUAAGCAUAUCAAUAAGCGGAGGAAAAGAAACUAACUAGGAUUCCCUCAGCAACGGCGAGUGAAGCGGGAAGAGCUCAAAUUUGAAAUCUUCAAGGUUUUACCUUGACGAAUUGUAGUUUAAAGAAGUGUUUUCUGUUGGAGUUUUGGUAAAAGUUCUUUGGAAAAGGACAUCAUAGAGGGUGAGAAUCCCGUAUUUGACCAUUAUCUCCAGCUUUGUGAUACACUUUCAAAGAGUCGGAUUGUUUGGGAAUGCAGUCCAAAAUGGGUGGUAAAUUUCAUCUAAAGCUAAAUACUGGCGAGAGACCGAUAGCGAACAAGUACCGUGAGGGAAAGAUGAAAAGAACUUUGAAAAGAGAGUUAAACAGUACGUGAAAUUGUCAAAAGGGAAGCGUUUGACACCAGUGUUGUUUUCUCGAAAAUCAAUUAAAAAAGGCCGGAUUUUGUGUUGUAUUGACUUUAUCAGCUUUCUGUACUCUUUUCUUGUCUUUUUUAAUGCACUUUUCGUUUAACAAGUCAACAUCAAUUUCUUUUGUUGUAAAAGGGUCAUUGGAAGGUGGCUUUCUUUUCGGAGAAAGUGUUUAUAGCCUUUGGCCUCUGCAAUCGGAGAGAUUGAGGUCUGCAGCGUAGAUCCUUCGGGGUUAGAUACAUUUGUGCUAAGUUAUAGCCUUUCAUAGGCAACUUGUUGACUAUGAUCAGUCAUGUAGCUUACUCGCUUAUGCUAUUUUACCUACGCUUAGGAUGUUG